rnacentral:lncRNA from 1 species
AGAGUCUGGAGCAAGCAAUCACCUUAUCUGAUGGCCGCAGCUAUAGACAACUGGGGUUAGAGGAGAUGCAUGCCUAAUUGCUGUCACUUUAACUGGAGACCUCAGCUGAUGUUCUUAGUGGCUUAUAUGGUAUCAUGGUGGAGAAAGGAACAUGUAAGAAAAUGGGAUUCCUACAAUCUUCUUACAUUCCUCUGAUGCCGUGAGUGUAUAUGACUAUACUUAUAUCUAUCUGUAUUUGUGUGUACGUAUGAAGGGGUAGUUGUUUAAAAGAUGUCGAAGUGUAAGGAGGGGUGACCUUAUACUCCACCUCUGGUGUCUAUCUAGCAAAUGUCUGAGGAAGGUUGUGUAGGGAGGUGUACAUGGGGUUUAAUGCAAUCCUUUUACACCCCCUUAUCCUCCAUCCUAUCAAUGGGAAAGCUGCACACGAGCUGAGGUAAACUCUUCGAGGCAAAAUUUACGAUGACAUUUAAAAUCAGUAAAGCUUGCUGCAGCCCUAAAUGUUGAAGUAUACAUGCACACUUCCAUAUAAUCUGAUCUCAGGCACACACCGAAUUGGAGGUUAAAAGAAUUGUAUACAUUGCUACCAGUUACCACAUCAACAUUUCAGAUAUGUGCAUGUGAUUUAAGUGCAGAUGACCUGGAGCUUGCUGAUGCUAUAACUUUAAAAGCAAUUGGGUUGUGUGCUGGCUAGAACAACAAUGUGGGCAUUAUAACAAUCUCACUUGAACUGCCAUUAAGACAUCUCUAGUGCACUGUUGUACCACUAAAAUGUAAUUCCCGGUAGACAAUAAUCCUGGACCCCUAGACUGUGAAUCAUGGGCAGUAAACGACUGACAGGCAGGUUAACAAUGGGCUCUGUGGGCAGUCUGACAUUGUACAGGUGCGCAUCAUCACAGUAAAGUAAUUAACAGGUACUUAAAGGAAUGUACAUUUAAGCUAAAAAAAAAAAACAAAAAAAAACUGUUAAGAGACUUCCUAAGUGGACUGCUAUUCUUUUUUUUUUGUAAACCCCACUUGUAUUUUAUGACCAGGUAAAAGGACUGCAGAGCACAAAAUCCAAUCUAAAAGCAGAUCUGCAAUCAUUAGCUCUCCUAUCAGCGCUAGGCUGCUCCAUCAACAGUACCAUUUUAUAACCCUGUGAUAUGCUGUUGACUAAGGAUUUAAAGUGAUUCAUCAAUUCAGUCUGAUUCCUAUAAAUAAAGUAAGAAACAAACAAACA